GAUGAACGCUGGCGGCGUGCCUAAUACAUGCAAGUCGAGCGAACGUACGAGAAGCUUGCUUCUCUGAUGUUAUCGGCGGACGGGUUAGUAACACGUGGAUAACCUACCUAUAAGACUGUGAUAACUUCGGGAAACCGGCGCUAUUACCGGAUAAUAUUUUGAACCGCAUGUUUCAAAAGUGAAAGACGGUCUUGCUUUCACUUAUAGAUUGCUCCGCGCUGCAUUAGCUAGUUGGUAAGGUAACGGCUUACCAAGGCAACGAUGCAUAGCCGACCUGAGAGGGAGAUCGGACAGACUGGAACUGAGAAACGGCACAGACUCCUACGGGAAGAAGCAGUAGGGAAUCUUACGCAAUGGGCGAAAGCCUGACGGAGCAAAGCCGCGUGAGUGAUGAAGGUCUUCGGAUGGUAAAACGCUGUUAGUAGGGAAGAAGAAAUGUGUAAGUAACUGUGAACAUCUUGACGGUACCUAAACAGAAAGCCACGGCUAACUACGUG
rnacentral:rRNA from 1 species